AUUGAAAAUGAUGACUUUAAGGGGUGUUGAAAUAAUCUGAUGUAAAAUGCCAUCCAUUUCCUGAUUCACA
ensembl:snoRNA